GACGAACGCUGGCGGCGUGCUUAACACAUGCAAGUCGAACGGAAAGGCCCUGCUUUUGUGGGGUGCUCGAGUGGCGAACGGGUGAGUAACACGUGAGUAACCUGCCCUUGACUUUGGGAUAACUUCAGGAAACUGGGGCUAAUACCGGAUAGGAGCUCCUGCUGCAUGGUGGGGGUUGGAAAGUUUCGGCGGUUGGGGAUGGACUCGCGGCUUAUCAGCUUGUUGGUGGGGUAGUGGCUUACCAAGGCUUUGACGGGUAGCCGGCCUGCGAGGGUGACCGGCCACACUGGGACUGAGAUACGGCACAGACUCCUACGGGAGGCAGCAGUGGGGAAUAUUGCACAAUGGGCGGAAGCCUGAUGCAGCAACGCCGCGUGCGGGAUGACGGCCUUCGGGUUGUAAACCGCUUUCGCCUGUGACGAAGCGUGAGUGACGGUAAUGGGUAAAGAAGCACCGGCUAACUACGUG
rnacentral:rRNA from 1 species